GUCCACGCCGUAAACGAUGAGUGCUAGACGUUGGGAGGCCUAGCCUUCCGGGGUCGCAGCUAACGCAUUAAGCACUCCGCCUGGGGAGUACGGCCGCAAGGUUAAACUCAAAGGAAUUGACGGGGCCCGCACAAGCGGUGGAGCAUGUGGUUUAAUUCGAAGCAACGCGCAGAACCUUACCAGCCCUUGACAUGGGGAGUGUGAGCCUGGGAGACCGGGUUCUUCAGUUCGGCUGGCUCCCGCACAGGUGCUGCAUGGCUGUCGU
rnacentral:rRNA from 1 species